rnacentral:rRNA from 1 species
UACGUAGGGAGCAAGCGUUGUCCGGAAUCAUUGGGCGUAAAGCGCGCGUAGGUGGUCCCGUAAGUCCGCUGUGAAAGUCAAGGCUCAACCUUUGAAAGCCGGUGGAUACUGUGGGACUAGAGUACGGAAGAGGCGAGUGGAAUUCCUGGUGUAGCGGUGGAAUGCGCAGAGUAUCAGGAGGAACACCAAUAGCGAAGGCAGCUCGCUGGGACGUUACUGACACUGAGGC